rfam:Schistosoma mattheei strain Denwood, Zambia genome assembly, scaffold: SMTD_scaffold0002648
GUUUUGCUGAAGAAUCCCACAAUAGAACGAAACGAUCGUCUAGUAC